GACGAACGCUGGCGGCGUGCCUAAUACAUGCAAGUAGGACGCAGUUGCGAACGGGUGAGUAACGCGUAGGUAACUACCUAUUAGAGGGGGAUAACUAUUCGAAACGAUAGCUAAUACCGCAUACUAGUAGAUGGACCUGCGUUGUAUUAGCUAGUAGGUAGGGUAAUGGCCUAACAAGGCAACGAUACAUAGCCGACGUGGGAGGGUGGUCGGCCAGACUGGGACUGAGACACGGCCCAGACUCCUACGGGAGGCAGCAGUAGGGAAUCUUCGGCAAUAGGGGGAAGCCUGACCAGGCAACGCCGCGUGAGUGAAGAAGGUUUACGGAUCGUAAAGCGCUGGUGUUAAGGAAGCGGUAAUUAACCAGAAAGGGACGACUAACUACGUGCCGGCAGCCGCGGUAAUAC
rnacentral:rRNA from 1 species